rnacentral:rRNA from 1 species
UGAGGAAUUUUGCGCAAUGGGAGCAAUCCUGACGCAGCAACGCCGCGUGGGUGAUGAAGGCCUUCGGGUCGUAAAGCCCUGUCAGGUGGGAAGAAUGUCCCGGGACUGAACAGGUUCCGGGAGUGACGGUACCACCAGAGGAAGCACCGGCUAACUCCGUGCCAGCAGCCGCGGUAAUACGGAGGGUGAAGGAGUUAUUCGGAAUUACUGGGCGUAAAGCGCGAGUAGGCGGUCCUGCAAGUCGGAUGUGAAAGCCCCGGGCUUAACCCGGGAAGUGCAUUGGAAACUGUGGGACUUGAGUACUGGAGAGGAUGGGGGAAUUCCCGGUGUAGAGGUGAAAUUCGUAGAGAUCGGGAGGAAUAUCAGUGGCGAAGGCGCCCAUCUGGACGGUAACUGACGCUGAGACGCGAAAGCGUGGGGAGCAAACA